rnacentral:rRNA from 1 species
UACGUAGGUGGCAAGCGUUGUCCGGAGUUAUUGGGCGUAAAGCGCGCGCAGGCGGUGGGGUAAGUCCAUGGUGAAAGCGCCCGGCUCAACUGGGCGAGUGCCGUGGGGACUGCCGCGCUGGAGUGGAGCAGAGGCGAGUGGAAUUCCGGGUGUAGUGGUGAAAUGCGUAGAGAUCCGGAGGAACACCAGUGGCGAAGGCGGCUCGCUGGGCUUUGACUGACGCUGAGGCGCGAAGGCGUGGGGAGCGAACCG